UAAGGCACGCCUCUCCGAGGCGUGAGACUCAAGAAAGCGCUGACCGAAAGAUAAGCACCUGCGAGUGCCAAGCAUAACGCGCAUGCGUCAACCAGCGAUAAAUACGAGCCCUGCGCGGCUCCGCCAGACCAGUUUUCAGUUCAGUUCAGUUAGUCUCUCAUCGUUCACAGCUCAGUCCGCACAGUCAGUUCAGUUAGAGCAGUUAGUCGCAUUCGAUUCCUGUGUUGUCGCGCUCUUACCAAGGAGCGAAGACUCAGAGGAACGACAUUUGAUCUCUCCAACGCAAUCUCGAGAUUUGGAUUUCUUCUUUCAUCACCAGGGUCGCUUGACAGCACUCGGUAUGGAAGCAGAGGACAAUAAGCAGAAUCUUCCACGGUCCCGCACGCGUCGUCCGAACAGGAGGAGUCGUCGCGGAGGAAUCAAGAAACAUCAAAAGAAAGAGCUCGCGAAAUAUCUACAUAAAUUAUACGACGAUUUAGCUUCUCGCGUCAAAGCAUUACAAGUCGCGCUCGUCCUAUAUCAGGAACCUCUUGUUCACCCGUCUAAUCCCGGAAUCGUGGUUAACCGACCGUCAUCGCCUAUCGAUUCAGAGGCUUCUACAUUUAUUCUCGACGAUCCGUCAAACUUCGACGAGAUCCCAGUCAUAGACCUGACUGAGGACGGCGACGAGGAUUCUUACCUGGAAACCAUUGACACAACCACGGCUCCUAAGGUGGAUCUGGGUCGAGCGGAAACCCUGGAUCCUUGCGUGGCAUUUCGAGAGAGUUACCACGGGAGUAAGCAGUACUAAGGGGUCACGAGCAAGUAACAAGAAUGUUUACGAGUUUGAAAAUAGUCGUUAAGAGGUCAAUUGAAAGAUUCAACGUAAGAGGAUAGAUUAAUAGAAUAAAUAAAGAGGUUUGUCUCGUAUAACGUAUCCUUCGACCAAUCGUAUAUUACGUAGAAGGAAUAGGUUUAGAAACGACUCCUAGAAACAUACAUUCCUGGGAAGGUCGUCCCUUAAGGAAAAAGAAGCUGUAGUUUUCUCUAGACGGACGUGUAUUCCUCGAGAUUACUACUAGAAGGUAUUAGGACGAUUCUUCGACAGAUAGAUUCUAUGAGAACUAUCCUAUAUGUACAUCAUGCGUUUAAUAAAGGAAAUGAACGAUUGAAUCUUACGUGAAUUACAGUGCAGAAUUUAUGUCUCGUAAUGAUUAUGAUAUUGAAAGGUUACUUACGUGUGUGUAGAUGCUUCGAU